rnacentral:rRNA from 1 species
AUUAAAUAUUUUGUUAUAUUAUAUAAAUUAAUAAAAAUAAUUUUAAUAUUUUAUGUUUUAGUAUUUUAUAAAGAAUAAAUAAUUUAUUAUUAUUAUAGUAUAUUAGUAUUGUGAAAGAAUUUUGAAAUAAUUGAAAAAUUUAUAAUUUAAAAAGAAAAUUUAAUUUAUUGUACCUUGUGUAUCAGGGUUUAUUAAAUAAAAUUUAUUUAUAUAAAUUUCUCGAAAAGAAAAGAUUUAAAAAUAUAUAAUAGUUAUUGUUACAAAAUUAUUAUUAAUAUAUUUUUUGAAAUGAAAUGUUUUUCGUUUUUCUUAUAUCUAGUUUUUUAAGAAAUAAAUUUAAUUUAUUUAUAAUUGAUUUAUAAAUUUUAAUUUUUAAAAUUUAUAAUUUAUUAUAAAAAUAUUUAAUGGGAUGAGCUAUUAAAUAAAAUUUUAAAAGUUUAUUUAUUAUAAAAUAUUUAUAUGUUUAGAAAUAGCAAUUAUUAAUAAAUUUGUUUUAAUUUAUAUUUUUAUAAAUUUAUUUUUUAAACUUUAAAUUUUUUAUUAAAAUUUUUAAUUAAAUUUUAAAAUUAAAGUAAAAAUGAUAAAAUUAGUAUAUUAAUUAUAUUGUAAAAUUAAGUAAUAUUACGAUAGAUUAAAUUAAGGAAUUCGGCAAAUUUUAUUUUUGCCUGUUUAACAAAAACAUGUCUUUUUGAAUUUAAUUUAAAGUCUAAUCUGCCCAAUGAUUUUUUUUUAAUGGCCGCAGUAUUUUAACUGUGCAAAGGUAGCAUAAUCAUUAGUUUUUUAAUUGAAGACUUGUAUGAAUGAUUGGACAAAAAAUAUGCUGUCUCAAUUUAAUUUUGUAAAAUUUUAUUUUUUAGUUAAAAAGCUAAAAUAAAUUUAAAAGACGAGAAGACCCUAUAGAUCUUUAUAUUUUUAAAUAUAUUAUAUUUAUGAGAAUAUUUUUAUUAAUAUAUUUUAUAAUAUUUUGUUGGGGUGAUAUUGGAAUUUAAUAAACUUCCAAUAAUUUAUAAACAAAAAUUUUUGAUUUAAGUUGAUCCUUUAUUAUGGAUAAAAAAUUUAAGUUACCUUAGGGAUAACAGCGUAAUUAUUUCGGAGAGUUCUUAUUGAUGAAAUAGAUUGCGACCUCGAUGUUGGAUUAAGAUUAAUUCUGGGUGUAGCAGUUCAGAAUAUUAAGUCUGUUCGACUUUUAAAUUCUUACAUGAUCUGAGUUCAAACCGGUGUAAGCCAGGUUGGUUUCUAUCUUUAAAUAAAUUUAAUAUUUUAGUACGAAAGGACCAAAUAUUAAAAAUAUAAUUUUUUAAAAAUGAAUAAUAUUAAUAUUAU